ACCGGCAGCUCAAGUGGUGGCCAUUUUUAUUGGGCCUAAAGCGUUCGUAGCCGGUUUGAUAAGUCUCUGGUGCCAUCCCUCCUCUUCCCUGUGGGUCUUGCUGGAGAUACUAUUAGACUUGAGGUCGGGAGAGGUUAGGGGUACUCCCAGGGUAGGGGUGAAAUCCUAUAAUCCUGGGAGGACCACCUGUGGCGAAGGCGCCUAACUGGAACGAACCUGACGGUGAGUAACGAAAGCCAGGGGCGCGAACCG
rnacentral:rRNA from 1 species